CAGCCGCCGCGGGAAUACGAAGGGGGCUAGCGUUGUUCGGAAUUACUGGGCGUAAAGGGCGCGUAGGCGGCCAUUCAAGUUAGAUGUGAAAGCCCUGGGCUCAACCUAGGAAUUGCAUUUGAUACUGUUUGGCUUGAGUUCGGGAGAGGUGAGUGGAAUUCCCAGUGUAGAGGUGAAAUUCGUAGAUAUUGGGAAGAACACCAGUGGCGAAGGCGGCUCACUGGACCGACACUGACGCUGAGGCGCGAAAGCGUGGGGAGCAAACAGGAUUAGAUACCCGAGUAGUCCCUGUCUCUUAUAA
rnacentral:rRNA from 1 species